CCCUACUGGCCCACCCCAUCUCCCUGGACUCCCCAAAUGUCACUCUACACAUAGCAUUAAGAGUGCUUGCCGAAGGCAGAUCACGAGGUCAAGAGAGCGAGACUAUCCUGGCCAACAUGGUGAAACCCCGUCUCUACUAAAAAAAAAAAAAAAAAAAAUACAAAAAUUAGCUGGGCAUGGUGGUGUGUGCCUGUAGUCCCAGCUACUUGGGAGGCUGAGGAAGGAGAACUGCUUGAACCUGGGAGGCAGAGGUUGCAGUGAGCUGAGAUCAUGCUACUACACUCCAGUCUGGCGACAGAGUGAGACUCCAUCUCAAAAAAAAAAAAAAAAAGUGCUUGCCAACAAUCAGUAUCCCAUCUUGCUCCAAACCAUCAAUGGCCCCAUUGCCAAGGAAAGCCCUAUUGUUGCUCUGAAAGCCUCCCAAUCUGGCCCUGUUCCUUUUUUCAAUCACAGGCACCUCAAACCACAUGCAGAUCUCAGGUAUCCUCAACCCUCUUCCAUUUCUUUGUUGCACAUUGUACCACUGUUUGAUAUGGAUUGGAUGUGUAUCCCCUACAAAUCUCAUGUUGAAAUGCAACCCCUAGUGCUGGAGGCCCAGGGAAGCCAAAAGAUUGGACACCCCUGAUUUAAAGUGAGAGAUGUGUAACUACUCCUUUAACUUGAACUCUUAGAGGCCACUGUAGGGUUAUUAACUGACCUGAUUUCAAUAUUGCUGUGUGUCAGGGAAUAGGAACGCUUAAAGAGAGGGAGAAGGAUGGGGAUCAGCUGGUCAGUGAGGCAGUCAGAAGACACAUAACAAUUUUUUUUUUUUUUUUUAGACAGAUUCUUGCACUGUUGCCCAGGCUGGAGUGCAGUGGCACGAUCUUGGCUCACUGCAAGCUCCAUCUCCCAGGUUCACACCAUUCUCCUGCCUCAGCCUCCCGAGUAGCCGGGACUACAGGCGCCCACCACCAUGCCCGGCUAAUUUUUUGUAUUUUCAGUAGAGACAAGGUUUCACCAUGUUAGCCAGGAUGGUCUUGAUCUCCUGACCUCGUGAUCCACCCGCCUCGGCCUCCCAAAGUGCUGGGAUUACAGGUGUGAGCCACUGCGCCUGGCCGACUUUAGGCAUUUGACACAGAUCUCUAACUAACUUAAUGCAGGCAGCAGGAGAUAAAUACCCAUGCUCAGCUGCAUCAUGAAAACGGAAGAAACUGGAACACAUUCAACACCCUCAACACAUUCCAGCUACAUCAAAAGAGUCUGGUUCCUACCUUCUGGCCUUAGGAUAAUGACAGAAUGUAGUACAUCCUAAGUUCCAGAGAGUUACCAAAAACAGAGACAGCAUUCUGGACAAACACAAAGAUUAGAGAAGCACCUUAAAUCUUUGGCCAGAUGGAUUCGUGAGAUCCUUCUACUACACUAGGCAAGACUGGGAGAAGUAGUGAACUUUUUUUUUUUUUUGAAAUGGGGUCUCAGCCAAGCAUGAUGACUCACACCUGUAAUCCCAGCACUUUGGGAGGCCGAGGCGGGUGGAUCUCCUGAGGGCAGGAGUUCGAGACCAGCCUGGCCAACAUCGUGAAACCCCGUCUCUACCAAAAAUACAAACAAAUUAGCUGGGCGUGGUGGCGGGUGCCUGUAAUUCCAGCUACUCAGGAGGCAGACAAGAGAAUUGCUUGAACCCAGAAGGCAGAGGUUGCGGUGAGCCGAGAUUGUGCCACUGCACUCCAGCCUAGGAAACGUGGUGAAACCCCGUCUCUACUAAAAAUGGAAAAAUUAGCGGGGUGUGGUGGUGGGCACCUGUAAUCCCAGCUACUCGGGAGGCUGAGGUAGGAGAACUGCUUGAACCCAGGAGACAGGUUGCAGUGAGCCGAGAUCGCGCCACUGCACUCCAGCCUGGGUGACAAGAGCAAGACUCCAUCUCAAAAAAACAAAACAAAACAAAACCUGGCCAAGGCAUGGUGGCUCACUCUUGUAAUCCCAGCACUUUGGGAGGCCGAAGGGAGUGGAUCAACUGAGGUCACGAGUUUGAGACCAGCCUGGCCAACAUGGUGAAACUCUAUCUAAUAAAAUACAAAAAUUAGCUGGGCAUGGUGAUGCAUGCCUGUAAUCCCAGCUACUGGGAAAACUGAGGCAGGAGAAUCACUUGAAUCUGGGAGGCAGAAGCUGCAGUGAGCCAAGAUCGCACCAUUGCACUCCAGCCUGGGUGACAGAGCGAGACUCGUCUCCAAAAAAAAAAUAAAUAAAUAAAAUAAAACCAAAGCCAAGUGCAGUGGCUCACAACUGUAAUCCAAACACUUUGGAAGGCUGGGGCCGGUGGAUCAGUUGAGGUCGGGAGUUCAAGACCACCUGGGCCAACACGGUGAACG
rnacentral:lncRNA from 10 species